ACUUUACAGAAAUGUGGAGACCCUGGCAUUGAACUCACUUGUACCUUCUGCGCGUGCACCGGAUAACUUGCCCGGCACCCUCACUCGCAGUGCGCCUGCGUCCCUUAUUCAAUGCCAGCGUCUCCUGCUGCGCCUGCGUCGGCUCGGGAGGA